rnacentral:rRNA from 1 species
GAGUUUGAUUAUGGCUCAGGAUGAACGCUAGCGGCAGGCCUAACACAUGCAAGUCGAGGGGUAGAGUGCUUCGGCACUUGAGACCGGCGUACGGGUGCGUAACGCGUGUACAAUCUACCUUUUGCUAAGGGAUAGCCCGAAGAAAUUUGGAUUAAUACCUUAUAGUAUUAUUUGGUGGCAUCAUUAAAUAAUUAAAGCUACGGUGGCAAAAGAUGAGUACGCGUCCCAUUAGCUAGUUGGAGUGGUAACGGCACACCAAGGCUACGAUGGGUAGGGGUUCUGAGAGGGAUGUCCCCCACACUGGUACUGAGACACGGACCAGACUCCUACGGGAGGCAGCAGUGAGGAAUAUUGGACAAUGGUCGGAAGACUGAUCCAGCCAUGCCGCGUGCAGGAUGACGGCCUUAUGGGUUGUAAACUGCUUUUGUAUGGGAAGAAUAAGGUCUACGUGUAGAUUGAUGACG